rnacentral:rRNA from 1 species
CGUGUCUCUAGUGCCAGCAGCCGCGGUAAUACAUAGGUGGCAAGCGUUGUCCGGAAUGACUGGGCGUAAAGGGAGCGUAGGCGGUCUGUUAAGUUGGGAGUGAAAUCCCGGGGCUCAACCCCGGAACUGCUUUCAAGACUGACGGACUUGAGUGUAAGAGGGGUAAGCGGAAUUCCUAGUGUAGCGGUGGAAUGCGUAGAUAUUAGGAGGAACACCAGUGGCGAAGGCGGCUUACUGGAUUAUAACUGACGCUGAGGCUCGAAAGCGUGGGUAGCAAACAGGAUUAGAUACCCUGGUAGUCCACGCUGUAAACGAUGGAUACUAGAUGCAGGGGGUAUCGACUCCCUCUGUGUCGCAGCAAACG